AAAAGUGCUGUCGCACUUCCGGGAUAAUUUCGUCGCAUUUUGUACGAUGAAACGCCAAGUAUAAUAUCAUCGUAUCGUCGUCGUCGAAACCUUAACGUAGCUUUGCAAUUAAACAGCAUAUUGUUAAUAAACGGAUAGUAAAAGCGCGAAAAUAAUUGCGAAUUUAUACGUUUUAUAAAGUUUAGAUGUAAAAGUUGCUGUAGGUACCUAGCUAAAGCAAAUGUGUUGCAUACGAAUUACGUACGAAGCCUCCAUAUGAGGCUGUGAAAAUUUUCAGAUAACGUGGAAUAGCGAAUGACGGCGCUGUUUACGGUGUGAUUGUAACAAUACGAAAGUGCUCAGUUAUAAUGAUGGGUAAUACAAAUGGUGAAGAGGAAAGUGAAAGAUAGCUGAAUCGUCAUUCGGUGCAGAUUCUACUUGGUAAAGUAACCGUAGGUACUAAUACAGUAUGAAUAAAAGGCAAACAUUCACUCACCUGAAACAAGAAAAAAAAUUAAACAAAUUUAAACGAA